CCUACGGGAGGCAGCAGUGAGGAAUAUUGGUCAAUGGGCGAGAGCCUGAACCAGCCAAGUCGCGUGAGGGAGUACUGCCCUAUGGGUUGUAAACCUCUUUUGUCGGGGAGCAAAAGCCGGACGUGUCCGGCUGUGAGAGUACCCGAAGAAAAAGCAUCGGCUAACUCCGUGCCAGCAGCCGCGGUAAUACGGAGGAUGCGAGCGUUAUCCGGAUUUAUUGGGUUUAAAGGGUGCGCAGGCGGAUUUUUAAGUCAGCGGUAAAAUCGUGGGGCUCAACCCCAUCAAGCCGUUGAAACUGGGGAUCUAGAGUGUGCGAGAGGUAUGCGGAAUGCGUGGUGUAGCGGUGAAAUGCAUAGAUAUCACGCAGAACCCCGAUUGCGAAGGCAGCAUACCGGUGCACAACUGACGCUCAGGCACGAAAGCGUGGGUAUCGAACAGGAUUAGAUACCCUAGUAGUC
rnacentral:rRNA from 1 species